rnacentral:rRNA from 1 species
AGCCGGAAUCGCUAGUAAUCGCAGAUCAGAAUGCUGCGGUGAAUACGUUCCCGGGUCUUGUACACACCGCCCGUCACACCAUGGGAGUCGGAAAUGCCCGAAGCCAGUGACCCAACCUUAAGGAGGGAGCUGUCGAAGGUGGAGCCGAUAACUGGGUGAAGUCGUAACAAGGUAAC